UCUGACCUCAAAUCAGGUAGGACUACCCGCUGAACUUAAGCAUAUCAAUAAGCGGAAGAAAAAAAACUAACAAGGAUUCCCUUAAUAACUUGAUAAGCGGAAGAAAAAAAACUAACAAGGAUUCCCUUAAUAACUUG
rnacentral:rRNA from 1 species